GACGAACGCUGGCGGCGUGCUUAACACAUGCAAGUGGAGCGACGAACCAUCUUCGGAUGGGGCAAAGCCGCGAACGGGUGAGUAACACGUGGGUAACCUGCCUUGAUGAUUGGGACAACCCCGGAACCGGGGCUAAUACCAAAUGUGCUCCUUCCCUUUGAGGGGAAGGUGGAAAGGAAGCUUCGGCCUCCGCAUCGAGAU
rnacentral:rRNA from 1 species